CUUUUGGGUUGUUACAUACCUGGUGGGGAGGAAUUUUAAGAUUCGGACAGAUCAUCAAAGUUUGAGGUUUCUGUCAGACCAACAAGCAAUCACCCAUUUUAGCAAAUGUGGGUUGAAAAAAUGGUAGGAUACGACUAUGAAGUUGUUUAUAAGAGGGAUCAAGCAAUGCUACAGUUGAUGCUUUCUCGAGGAUCAAGUAUGUCAUCACUGGU
rnacentral:lncRNA from 1 species